CUUAGCCGCCAUACCACAACAAAAAGAAACACACCCGAUCUUGUCUGAUCUUGGAAGCUAAGCAGGGUCAGGACUGGUUAGUACUUGGAUGGGAGACCACCUGGGAAUACCAGGUGCUGUAGGC
rnacentral:rRNA from 1 species